GUUCAAAUAAAAUACACUGCUUUCUUGCUCAAUUUUCUGAUUAGGACAACAGGAUCCAUCUCUAUAAGAAUAUAUUUACCUUCCUGUCUUGAAUGACAUCUCUAUUUCUUUCUAUUUGCCUAUUCUCCUCUUUUAAUUUUCUCUCUCCACCCCUUCUGUGUGUUACUUGUUUCCAGCACCCAUUUGCCACUUACCUUUGGCAGCAUGUUCUGUUAUCUGAUUUAUGUGUAGAGACUCUUUCCAGCUUCGAUUUCAGCCAAAAAUUAUGGAGGUUAGAGUUGGUGAUGAUGGUGUGUGUGUGUGUGUGUGUGUGAGCGUAUACACACUCACACCCACACAUACAUAUUUCAAAAUUGAGACAUUGUGUGUUUGAAUUUCUGGCUAGCAGAUCUUAUCCAUAGAUGUUCUUAACAAUAAAUGUUGAACACAUAUUUCCAGUGCUUGGUAGUGUAGUGUAAAAUCUGUCUUCAUUGUGGUAAAGCAUGUAUAAUUCACAGAAUUAUUUCUAGAGAGAAUCAACAAAAUUGCAAGAAUGACAAAAUAUUCAUUUGAAAUUUAUUGUUCUGAAAAUCAUUUUUGUUAUGUAUUUGUUUAAUUAUUUAACUUUGCAGGAUGUUCAACAUGGUCAAUGCCAAAAUAAACAUCAGAAUACUUGGAAAUAAGGUACUAAUAGUAGGAGUUCCUGAUUAUCAGGUGCCUAUGAUGUGACAGGCACAUUGUGGCCUUUGCUUGACCAGGAGAUGGGUAAGUCCUUGCGGAUUUCUUCCCUGCUUAAGUGCAUAAAGCAGGUAAUGAUGAGUAGUGCGGAGAUGUGACUACAAAGCCUCAAGAAGGACAGACCAGCAUUCGUGCAAGAGAUCCAGCUGUCUUCUUUUCCCCAGGAGCCCAUAAUUUACAUGAACCUGAGAAAGAAUAUUGUAACUGGCAGAAAUUAUCUUCAGUUUAAAUCCUUUAUUUUAGGGGUUAAAUAACUUGGCAAAAUAAUGAGAUUAAUAUUAUUUUAAAGAUUGCUAGAAAAAAUUGUAACAUUUCAUGUAGAUGCGUAAAUAACAAACUUAAAGCUUGUUUCAGGAUGAGGUGCAAAAUGAAUAGCAGGAGAAGGACUUUAGUCGCAGUACAUAGAACUUGAGAAUGGAAUAGGUAAAUAAAUACUCUAUAGAAUAUUACAAUAAAUAGAAUAAAUUUUAAGUUCAUAGAGCAAUAUUUGAAAAUCCCACUUUCAAAGCCAUCAAUUUCUACACAGCGUUUCAUUUUGAUUUUGGAACUGAAGCCAAAGAUGUCCAGGGAGCUGAAAUGCUAGCUGGUCUUGCUGUGGCCGUGGAGGUUGGAAUUCUGCCAAGAAGAGCAUCUGUGAGAGAGCAAAAUGGCUGUUUACAUUCCUCCUGUGAAGGGAGUUGGGAAAUAAUCUAAGAAGCCUAAUCCAAAAGCAAAGAUGUUCCAUCCAGUCUUCUCUGUGAGAGUCAAAGGACAAACCAUCUGAAUGUUCCAAAAGUGUUUAUAUUAAUGUAUUUUAAAUUAUUCUGAUAAUGUUCUUGGCAGAGGCUUAAAGGUGUAAUUACUGAGACGAUGUAGAAAUACCAAGUAUUUAUUCAAACAAUAUGGAAUAAUACAAAUGGUAUGGUUGUCACAAUACAAAAAUAUCUAUAAACUAAAGAGUUCUUUAAUGGUGGAACUUUUUUUUACUUUUUGAAGUUGAAAUAUAAAUUUUUGUAAAAAAUACAAAUGAUUACUAUCUAUAACAUUUA